GGCUCAAUGGUCUAGGGUCUAGGGGAACGAUUCUCGCUUUGAGUGCGAGAGGUUCCGGGUUCAAAUCCCGGUUGAGCCC
rnacentral:tRNA from 1 species